GGUCGGGUGGUGUAGUUGGUUAUGUACGUUUUCCCUGAACAACAGCAAGUCAACCUCUUACUAACAACUUCACAGCACAUCUCGUUAACAGUUUACUGUUUGCAUGUUCAUUCAUACCGAGAAGGUCCUGGGAUCGAGCCCCAGCCUGAUCA
rnacentral:tRNA from 1 species